rnacentral:rRNA from 1 species
UACGUAGGGAGCGAGCGUUGUCCGGAUUUAUUGGGCGUAAAGAGCGCGUAGGCGGCUCGGUAAGCCGGAUGUGAAACCUCCAAGCUCAACUUGGAGCGGCCAUUCGGAACUGCCGUGGCUAGAGUCUGGUAGGGGAACACGGAAUUCCUGGUGUAGCGGUGAAAUGCUUAGAUAUCAGGAGGAACACCAGUGGCGAAGGCGGCUUCCUGGCCUGUUCUUGACGCUGAGGCGGCGAAAGCUA